rnacentral:misc_RNA from 1 species
CCGAACGUCCGGGAACAGGACGCAAAACAAGCCAUGCGUAUUAGUUCGCGCGGCAGGUACUCCCGUACUUGCCUGCUCCCUCUUUGCCCUCUCUCUCUCUCUUUCGUCGCUCAGGUGUUAGGCGGCCGACGCUUGUCGGCUCCGGGCCCCUGAAGGGAUGACUCCUCUUUUUGCCGCAGGUGAAUAGCUUUUCGGGACGCAACGGUGCGGGCUCUAGGAGUGCGGGCUGCCAUGUAAAAAUGGCGCCCGGGCUCGCGGAGUGCGGAUCGGAGCGGCUCGGAGGAAGGAAGCCUGCGGGGGGGGUUAUCUCAGACACAGCAGCAGAACCCCGCGAAACCACAAUCGUUAUGCGAUGUCGGGCGAGUUGCGUCUCGCCGAGCUCUUCGUGAGCUCGAAACAAAGCGCCACCCACAAACCACACCAAACUCUGAAUCUGAACUCAAAAGGAGGCGCGGCGCAUUCCUGCGUAGCGCCUUCUCAACCUUUAACGUU